rnacentral:misc_RNA from 1 species
AGGGACUUGAGUUUCAACAAGUUGACCGGCCAUAUUACUACCUCAAUCCAAGAAUUUAACUGAAGCCAAUUCUUAGUCAUUUGCACUCUUUAGAAAUAAUGCUUCUUGAUGAAUUAAACGCCACAUGAAAAGUGGGAAGGAAAAAUUAGUGCCUUUUUUUCCACUGAUAAUGCCUUGCACUUGUUGGAAAAUUUUUGUGAUCUGCUAACUUUAUUUGAUAUCAUAUAUCAGGUGUCUUGGGAAUAACAACUUGACUGGGGAGCUACCUGCAAAUAUCAU